AACGAACGCUGGCGGCAGGCCUAACACAUGCAAGUCGAACGCUCCGCAAGGGGAGUGGCGCACGGGUGAGUAACACGUGGGAACCUACCUUCUGGUACGGAACAACCAAGGGAAACUUUGGCUAAGACCGUAUACGACCUCCGGGUGAAAGAUUGAUCGCCGGAAGAGGGGCCCGCGUCCGAUUAGGUAGUUGGUGAGGUAACGGCUCACCAAGCCUUCGAUCGGUAGCUGGUCUGAGAGGAUGACCAGCCACACUGGGACUGAGACACGGCCCAGACUCCUACGGGAGGCAGCAGUGGGGGAAUAUUGGACAAUGGGCGCAAGCCUGAUCCAGCCAUGCCGCGUGAGUGAUGAAGG
rnacentral:rRNA from 1 species